rnacentral:rRNA from 1 species
GACGAACGCUGGCGGCGUGCUUAACACAUGCAAGUCGAACGGAAAGGCCCUGCUUGCCGGGUACUCGAGUGGCGAACGGGUGAGUAACACGGGGGUGUUCCGCCCUGCACUUCGGGAUAAGCCUGGAAAACAGGGUCUAAUACCUGAUAGGAGCCAUCUUUAGCGUGGGGGUUGGAAAGUUUUUGCGGUGUAGGAGGGGCUCGCGGCCUAUCAGCUUGUUGGUGGGGUAAUGGCCUACCAAGGCGGCGACGGGGAGCCGGCCUGAGAGGGUGUACGGCCAGACUGGGAUUGUGAGGGAGGCCGCAGUGGGGAGUGGGGCAGAAGGGGGGAAAGUUGGACACAGGGCGGACGCCUGAUGCAGGGAGGCCGCGUGGGGGUUGAAGGCUUUCGGGUUGUAAACUCCUUUCGCUAGGGACGCAGGUUUUUUGUGACGGUACCUAGAGAAGAAGCACCGGCUAACUACGUG